rnacentral:rRNA from 2 species
UAGGGAAUAUUGGGCAAUGGGGGAAACCCUGACCCAGCAACGCCGCGUGAAGGAAGAAGGCUUUCGGGUUGUAAACUUCUUUUAUCGGGGACGAAAAAAAUGACGGUACCCGAUGAAUAAGCCACGGCUAACUACGUGCCAGCAGCCGCGGUAAUACGUAGGUGGCAAGCGUUGUCCGGAUUUACUGGGUGUAAAGGGCGUGUAGGCGGGAUAGCAAGUCAGGUGUGAAAUCUAUGGGCUUAACCCAUAAACUGCACUUGAAACUGUUAUUCUUGAGUGAUGGAGAGGCAGGCGGAAUUCCUAGUGUAGCGGUGAAAUGCGUAGAUAUUAGGAGGAACACCAGUGGCGAAGGCGGCCUGCUGGACAUUAACUGACGCUGAGGCGCGAAAGCGUGGGGAGCAAACAGG